UACGCGUUUGUGCUGAUAUGCGCCGUUAAGACUAGCGUUUGAGCUGCUUUCGUUUCCGAGACUUCUUUUUCGAGUGAUCAUAUGACCAUGUACGGCGCUGUUGACCGUUAGCAACCCAGUCUGGAAAGUUCAUGCAAUGUGUUACUGGUGCGAGCGUAAGAAUGUCUGGGGGAGAGAAAAUGUUCUCCAGAGCUGGAAUAAACCAACUAAUCCCUAAAACAGUAACGUCAGUGUUGAGCCCUUGUAACGGAAUCCACAGCUGUCAUUCAGGACUCCAAUCCGCCCCCAGAAUGACCUUCCUCAGCGGACACGCCCCGUCCACCUGUCCCACAGGUGCGCCCGGCAAGAUGGCAGCGGGGCGAGUUUCUGCGGCUCUAGGACGCCGAAAUGAGUGUUCUGUUCGUUUGAGCGUGCUUUCGAAGUUUUAAAAGUCUGCAUGCAGCGUUCUACACUACCUUUCAUGUGCCAAAAUGAUUUCCAGAACGGACCUCCAGUUAUUAAAAGUGAUUUUUCCAAGUUCUGCGGCUCCUGGUUCUCUGCGCUCCGACGAUGUCCUUUCCAACUCCACUCCAGCGACUCGCCGUGCUUUGGCAAAUUAUCCUUGACAAUGUGUGCUUUUCCUUACAUUUCUUUUUGAUACCAGUGGCUUGAUCUGCGAUGUUCCGAUUCAGUGGUGUAUUUUGUUCCUGACCUGCAUGUUUCUUGUUGAUUGCUAUUACUGUAUGUGCUGAGCAUUCUGCAAUAAAAGCUCUUGAUUUCA